UAUACUAAGUUCUUGAAGGAUUUGUGCACCUAGAAAUGCAAAUGUAAAAUACACAUCCCGAAGAAAGUCCGCCUUAUUGAGCAAGCUAGCUUAGUCUUCCAAUAUGCCAUACCACUCAAAUUUAAGGAUCUUGGUGCCUCAAUCAUCUCUUGUGUCAGAGGGGGUCUGAUUGUAAAGAAAGCUUUAUUAGAUCUAGAGGCGAGUGUCAACCUUCUUCCAAGCUUAGUUUAUGAAUU
rnacentral:lncRNA from 1 species